rnacentral:rRNA from 1 species
UAUACAACUUUCAACAACGGAUCUCUUGGCUCUCGCAUCGAUGAAGAACGCAGCGAAAUGCGAUAAGUAAUGUGAAUUGCAGAAUUCAGUGAAUCAUCGAAUCUUUGAACGCACCUUGCGCUCCUUGGUAUUCCGAGGAGCAUGCCUGUUU